rnacentral:rRNA from 1 species
CCUACGGGCGGCUGCAGUGGGGAAUAUUGGACAAUGGGGGCAACCCUGAUCCAGCCAUGCCGCGUGUGUGAAGAAGGCCCUCGGGUUGUAAAGCACUUUCAGUGAGGAAGAACGCCUGGUGGUUAAUACCCAUCAGGAAAGACAUCACUCACAGAAGAAGCACCGGCUAACUCCGUGCCAGCAGCCGCGGUAAUACGGAGGGUGCGAGCGUUAAUCGGAAUUACUGGGCGUAAAGCGCGCGUAGGUGGCUUGAUAAGCCGGUUGUGAAAGCCCCGGGCUCAACCUGGGAACGGCAUCCGGAACUGUCAAGCUAGAGUGCAGGAGAGGAAGGUAGAAUUCCCGGUGUAGCGGUGAAAUGCGUAGAGAUCGGGAGGAAUACCAGUGGCGAAGGCGGCCUUCUGGACUGACACUGACACUGAGGUGCGAAAGCGUGGGUAGCAAACAGGAUUAGAUACCCCAGUAGC